CCGGCUAAAGGACAUCUCGUUGUGCGUGAGUUGCUGCCUUUGUCUCCGUGUCUGCGUCUCUGUGUGCGUAUGUGGUAAAUUAAUAAUGCAUUCGAUAUCGAAGCCACUUUGCAUUCAAAUUCAAUUGUGCAUGCGUGCAAAUUCAAUUCCCCAAAGCCCAAAAGCAUAAACUAAAUUAUAUUGCUGCAAAAUUUAAAUGCGCAACUAUUUUCGUUGCACUCAGGCACAUGACAAUUGCAAUGGCAAGUGUCAAAAAAGGAAGCGGCUUCGGCUAAGCCAACCAGUGCCCGGUAUCCCUUCGCAGAAAUAUCCACCUCCCCCCACAUAAAUACUGGCAACGCAAUCCAAACCUGCAACACAAUCACGUUUCAAUUAACAGCCAUGGCCCGCACUGUACUGCACUGUACUUCAGCAGCAUUGCACUGUGCUGGCCAUUUGGUGCUGGCCAUAUUCGUAUGUAAAACACGCACGCAACGGCUGCUCAUCGGGCAGGGCUUAAUGGCCAGGGUCCUGGACAUCAUAAUUCCGGCCACAAUUCCCAAACACCGCAAACACAUAAGGGAGUGUGCAGCGGGUUGGAUGGGUUAGGGGUGGCAGGUGGUUGGGUCAGCAGUUGCAGUCGACCAGGCCAAAGUUCUAUGGGGCCCACGAACUAAUUACGUUAAUAUGCGACAACGUUUUCAUAGGCGAAAAAUGUUUGCUGCACUGCGGGCGCUCUACACUCAACGAAUAUUAUUGGCCAAAUUGGCAAUUAGUGUAACACAAUUUUACAAAUCGGGCUUUAUCAACCAAAGUGGGCGUUUAAGGCUUUCUCAGAUUAUUUUAAUCAAGGUAUAUUACGAUUUACAAAAUCUUGUUUUAUGAAACUCCUUUUAACAAAAUUGGAGAGCUAUAACAUCUUAUAUGUGUAUAAUAUUUCUAAUUUUAAUUUAUUUACCAUAAGUCCUAGCCCUAUUUGGCUAAGUGCAGUGAAGGGUUAAGAGGAAGGUGUUGCAUAUGCCAUUGGAUAACCAAGACUGGUGUAAAUGAUUGAAGCACAACAGGGGUCACUCGAGGAAUGCUCGAUUGGAUUUCGAAGGCAGCAUUAGCAAAACUUGCCGAAUUAUCCAAGGAGCUGUCAGUGGGGAAAACGGCUAGCCACAUCGCUGCUGCCCCCUCCCCCCUUCCCAACUUCCGCUGGAGAAGAUGCAACUGUUUGGAUGCCGGACUAUUAGGAAUGCCAACACAACGGACCCGGAUGAGCGGACGUGGACCAGUUGCGUACGUGUUGAACAUCGGUUACCAUACCUGCUGCAGGACACACUAAGCCAAGCGGCAUUACCCAGCUCCGAUCCCAGCCCCAACGUCCAUAUAACCAUAAAGCCAUCCCAUUCCCAAUCCCAUAUCCGCCACCAUCACCACCACCACCCCCCGCGUGUGUGCAUUCAUAAAUAAGGCAUCCAACGAGGCAGACUCAGCAGGGAGCACAACUCCAGGCUGACCUGUCCAUCCAGGUUAACGGGAAGACGCACAUAGCAACACACAGUUACACUAAAGUAUCUGCAUACUGUCCAUAUGUAUCUACGCAUUUUUCAGUGCAACUUUUCCCUUGGCGCACACAUAUUCGAUCACUCGCUCACGUAGCUCUCUCAAAGUCCUGCGGCCCAUUCUCGUGCGGAAAAAGGACGAGUGACAGGACGGGAAGUGGACAGAUGGAUGCUGCUCUUGCUGUUGACAGUGCCUGCUGUCAUUCAUUCAUUAAUGCAUUUUCCUGAUUUUCACUCAUUUAACUCUAUAGAUUUUUCAUUUUGCCUAUUACGAGCAGGGCAUCAGGACACCAGGGUCAGCUGCUGGAUGGGAAAUAGAAGAGGUGGAUGGCUUGGGUGUGGCAUGGGAAUGGCAAUGAGGACGACGUGGCCGUCGGCUCUCGCAUGUCCUGACCUCUUUGGCCUGCCCUGUUGGUUUUGUCCUGGCCCCGGGAGCCAUGCUUCAUUUACUUUGUUGUCGGUGGCCAUUAGUUUUGACGCACU